rnacentral:rRNA from 1 species
UGGGGAAUUUUGCACAAUGGGCGCAAGCCUGAUGCAGCGACGCCGCGUGGAGGGUGACGGUCUUCGGAUUGUAAACUCCUGUUAAGUGGAAAGAAAGACGUAUGGUUAAUACCCAUACGGGAUGACGGUACCACUAGAGAAAGCUCCGGCUAACUUCGUGCCAGCAGCCGCGGUAAUACGAAGGGAGCUAGCGUUAUUCGGAAUUACUGGGCGUAAAGGGCGCGUAGGCGGCCUACUAAGUCAGUUGUUAAAACCCUCAGCUUAACUGAGGAUAGGCGAUUGAUACUGGUGGGCUAGAGGUAGAGAGAGAGAAGUGGAAUUCUCGGAGUAGCGGUAAAAUGCGUAGAUCUCGAGAGGAACACCGAUAGCGAAGGCAGCUUCUUGGCUCUAUACUGACGCUGAGGCGCGAAAGCGUGGGGAGCAAACAGG